rnacentral:misc_RNA from 1 species
UGGUAGAUCCUCUUGGAAUCUUACGUCCUCACAGCAAGCUUACACAUCAACUACCUCUGGUCAGUGCUUAUUCAUCUUUUGUAAGACUGGGCGUUGGUCUUGGUUUGGAACAGCAACGGAGGAGAAUGGACCCUGCAACAAAUGAACCAUUGUUUACAAACUGCACUAGAGAUUUUAUUGGCACCCUAGAUUACGUAUUUUACACAGCGGACACUUUGACAGUGGAGUCCUUGUUGGAACUCUUG